UCCCAAUGUCACAUUUUAUCAGAGCGUUGUGUCCCGACAUCCCUCAGCACAAUAUUCCUUAAAGCAGUUCACCUAGUCAUCUGCUCCCCCGAACACAAAGUUCAAGAUCAUCACAGGAUCCAAACACAAACAGCAAACCGGGAGUGAGAUAUCACAUUCCUAACUAAUAGAGAAACAAGACAACUAGAUAUACAUAUCAUAUAAACCAAAUAAAACAUACUUACACGUAAUUCACGUAAUUUCACCACUUUGUCAUUCAAAGUUUACUUUUCAUCCAUCAAUCACACUUUUCAAUCAUCAAUCACAUUACACAAGAAUCACACGCUCUGAUCAAGACAUUAUAACACCUCAAUUUCAUAAUAAACAAUUAGCAAGUGCAUGAGACAGUUAUGCUAAGACUCAAGCCUAUAUGCAAUGUGGUAUCAUGUCAGUGAAAAAUCACCCUGGGGCGCUUAGGAGUACAUAACAAGACACACCACACAAUGGGUUUGUCAGGUCACUCUCACUAAGUAAGAUCAUAGGGAGACAAGUCAGGGUCACGAUGUUUUGUGAGAAUGCUCCAACCAUAUGGGAUCAGCAUAGGCUUAAAGGAGCACUCAAACCUGGUGACCCCCAAGGCCUACACUCCGAAGAGUCCGUCAGGGUCUCUCCCUCCUGAUUCAGGUCCAACCCCUAAAAUCAUUUUAGCACACAGACACUGCUCGUGAAUUAUACAAUACCCACGACCUCACACUCAUGUGUUAAACAUGUACAACAUAUUGCGCUACAAUUUAACACUGAUUCCUAAAUAGGAAACUUACACUUUCUCUUUAACGUUGGUUCCUAAAUAGGAAACCUACAUUUUCUCUUUAACACUGCGCAUUUACACUUUUCUCAAGAUAACACUGGUUGGGUUAUUGUAUAAUUCACAGCUUACAACACCAAUAAUGUCACAUCAAGAGUUAAUCACACACUUAUUCACGACCAAAACUCAUUCACAAUUUCACAUCUCAUAAUGUCACAAUCCACCAUCACAUGUUUUUACGUAUCUCACAAUUCAACACCUGUCCUACUUUACACUUUUACUCAAUCUCAAUAACAAUAUUAUAAUCUCAAGGAAACAUAUUAUUCCACAAUUCAUCACAUAUUUCAUUUAUAAACACUGCUCAUGAAUUAUACAAUAUCACGCCCUCACACUCAUGUUUCAAGCAUGUUUAACACAAUUGCGCUAUAAUUUAACACUGGUUCCUAACUAGGAACCUACACUUUCUCUUUAACACUGCGCAUAAACAUUGGUCGGGUUAUUGUAUAAUUCAUAGCUCACAAUAUAAUUAAUAUAACAUCAAGUGUUAAACACAUCCACUUAUUCACAAUCGAAUAUCAUGUCCACACUUUAACAUCUCAUAACAUCACAUCAACCAUCUCAUAACAUUCCUAAUGAUAUUCAUAAGGUACAACAUACACAUGUUCAUCAAAUUUAACCAUAAUAUUCUCAAACUCCAACACUUAAUAAUUUUUGGAAUCAUACUAUAACACUCUACAAUAUUAUUUACAUAAAUUAUUAAUAUAAAUAACUACUUCUCUAUAUAUAAACUAGCAUACAUCAUAUUGAAUCACAAAUUACAAAGUAAGCUUUCAAUGCACAAAUUCCAAAUAAUUAUAUGAACACUUUGGUCAAUUUCAAUUAUGAUAUUAAUUUUUUAAAUUAUAUAUAAAAACCUAAAAAGCAAUAAAAAGAGAAAAUACAAAAUCAAUAUCUCUCUCUAAAUUUCUCCUUACUUUAUUUCAUCAAUUCAUAUUAAUUAGAAAAAAAAUACUCAAUUUAUAGGGUUCACGUUCAACACUAUAGCAUACUAAUUUCACAUCAAUUGGUCUGUCAAACAUAUAUAAUUCACUGUAAUAAUUAUAAGGAUAAAAUAAAAAUUACAAAAACACCCUAAAACUCAUUCCAAUUGAUAUCUCUAAGGAUCUCUACACAUGUUCUCACUAAUUCCCAAUUGUGAAUAACUCAUUCCUUACCUCUGAGCGGGCUCACGUGUCUUCAGCCAGCAAUAGCAGCACCUCUAGCGGUUCCCUGAGAUUUUUCCAGUUAUUCCUCCGACUGUCCUGAUAGAAUUUCUGAACUUCAGAGAGACGGAGAAGAGAUUGAAGCCUCCAAUUAUACUAUCUUCAUGCGAUUCCUUUUUCUCCCUCCAUGAAUAUUAUUUCGUAAAUCCCAACGGUGAAACUGUGUGCAAUUGAAUUUCGAACAACAUAUCCAAAUUUUAUGAAAAUCCAACGGUUAACAAAACCGGGAUCGUAGUUUUACCGAGAUAGCUCUGGGUUUCUACGGGAAAGGAAAAGACUACAAUGCGAGAGGUAUUUCUCUUAGAUCAUACAUGAUAUAGAAAAUUCCAACGGUGAGAAUGCUCGGAAUCGGGUUGCAAACGUGGUGCUCAAAUUUCGCGACGAUCCAACGGUGAAUGAAUCCGAGAUCGUGGUUUUUCUGAGACAGGUUUGGUGCGCUGCGGGAAAAGAAAGAGUUUUGAGAGGAGAAGGAGAAGAACGAAA
rnacentral:lncRNA from 1 species